UAUCUUCAGGGCAGGGUGUAAUUCCCUACCGGCGGUACAGCCCGCGAGCCUUUUAGGCAUGAUUCGGUGUGAUUCCGAAGCCGACAGUAUAGUCUGGAUGGAAGAAGAU
rnacentral:ncRNA from 1 species